rnacentral:RNase_P_RNA from 1 species
GGGUAAUCGAGCGUAAUAUACGUUAGGAAAGUCCAUACUAGCACAAACUGCGAUGUUUGUAGUGUUUGCGCCUGAUGAAAAAAUAAAUCAGGGAAUAGUUGAUGGCUAUUACGGCAAAUGAAACCUAAAAAAGUAAAACAUUUUAUGUUUGCUUUCAUGGUGUAGUUUUGAAGGUGCCACAGUGACGAUUUUCUUGGAAACGGGAAAGUGGAACGGGUAAACCCCGCAAGCUAGCAACCCAAAUUUUGGUAGGGGCAUGAAAACUAGGGGAAAAUGAACCUAUGGUUUUUACAAGGGUAACUUUGAGAUAAAUGAUUACCAAAUAACAAAAGUGAUUUUGUUGUUUACAGAAUAUGGCUUAUAU